GAUAGUGCAACUGGUUAAGCACGUGCUCCUCGAGAGGAUGAAAUGAGGGUUCGAGUCCCGCCUGGCGGCA